UGUAUAUCCUAAUUUCAGAAUGCAGAGUUUGGUUCUAUUGAUUUUUCCCCUUUCAUGGGCUAAUAAUUUGGCCAUGCUUUUACUCUUUGCAGUUGCUAGGGACUGGAAUGGAUACGCAGGAUACAUCUCCUUCAGUGUUGCUAUUCUUUGACAAGCAAAGAUUUAUAUUUAAUGCUGGAGAGGUGGUCUUUCGUUGCUUUGGAUAGAGCGGUUUGGUUGGUGUUUACAGUUCUGUUAAGCAAGCGGUGAGUUUCUAGGCUGAAAUUUCAAUUAAUUGUUUUAAGUUUUGUGAAUAGAGCAUAGGAAUUAGCUAAUGGUAUCAAUUGACAAUUGGUUGGUGUUAAUUUGUUGUUGUAAUGAUAGGUUUAAAGGAUUACAAUAUUUGAACAUGUUGGUAAAUCCUUUGAGUGUUUUGGCAA